GAUGAACGCUGGCGGUGUGCCUAAUACAUGCAAGUCGAGCGAACAGACGAGGAGCUUACUCCUCUGACGUUAGCGGCGGAUGGGUGAGUAACACGUGGAUAACCUACCUAUAAGACUGGGAUAACUUCGGGAAACCGGAGCUAAUACCGGAUAACAUGUUGAACCGCAUGGUUCAACAGUGAAAGACGGUCUUGCUGUCACUUAUAGAUGGAUCCGCGUCGCAUUAGCUAGUUGGUAAGGUAACGGCUUACCAAGGCAACGAUGCGUAGCCGACCUGAGAGGGUGAUCGGCCACACUGGAACUGAGACACGGUCCAGACUCCUACGGGAGGCAGCAGUAGGGAAUCUUCCGCAAAGGGCGAAAGCCUGACGGAGCAACGCCGCGUGAGUGAAGAAGGUCUUCGGAUCGUAAAACUCUGUUAUUAGGGAAGAACAAAUGUGUAAGUAACUAUGCACGUCUUGACGGUACCUAAUCAGAAAGCCACGGCUAACUACGUG
rnacentral:rRNA from 1 species